GUGCUCGCUUCGGCAGCACAUACACUAAAAACUGGAAUGAUACAGAGAUUAGCGUGGCCCCUGCUCAAGGAUGACACACAAUUCGUGAAGCAUUCCAGAUUUUU
ensembl:snRNA U6 U6 spliceosomal RNA